GGGUGUGACUGCGUACCUUUUGUAUAAUGGGUCAGCGACUUAUAUUCUGUAGCAAGGUUAACCGAAUAGGGGAGCCGGAGGGAAACCGAGUCUUAAUUGGGCGUUAAGUUGCAGGGUAUAGACCCGAAACCCGGUGAUCUAGCCAUGGGCAGGUUGAAGGUUGGGUAACACUAACUGGAGGACCGAACCGACUAAUGUUGAAAAAUUAGCGGAUGACCUGUGGCUGGGGGUGAAAGGCCAAUCAAACCGGGAGAUAGCUGGUUCUCCCCGAAAGCUAUUUAGGUAGCGCCUCGUGAAUUCAUCUCCGGGGGUAGAGCACUGUUUCGGCUAGGGGGCCAUCCCGGCUUACCAACCCGAUGCAAACUGCGAAUACCGGAGAAUGUUAUCACGGGAGACACACGGCGGGUGCUAACGUCCGUCGUGAAGAGGGAAACAACCCAGACCGCCAGCUAAGGUCCCAAAGUCAUGGUUAAGUGGGAAACGAUGUGGGAAGGCCCAGACAGCCAGGAUGUUGGCUUAGAAGCAGCCAUCAUUUAAAGAAAGCGUAAUAGCUCACUGGUCGAGUCGGCCUGCGCGGAAGAUGUAACGGGGCUAAACCAUGCACCGAAGCUGCGGCAGCGACACUGUGUGUUGUUGGGUAGGGGAGCGUUCUGUAAGCCUGUGAAGGUGUGUCGUGAGGCAUGCUGGAGGUAUCAGAAGUGCGAAUGCUGACAUAAGUAACGAUAAAGCGGGUGAAAAGCCCGCUCGCCGGAAGACCAAGGGUUCCUGUCCAACGUUAAUCGGGGCAGGGUGAGUCGACCCCUAAGGCGAGGCCGAAAGGCGUAGUCGAUGGGAAACGGGUUAAUAUUCCCGUACUUGGUGUUACUGCGAAGGGGGGACGGAGAAGGCUAUGUUGGCCGGGCGACGGUUGUCCCGGUUUAAGCGUGUAGGUGUGUGUUCCAGGUAAAUCCGGUUCACUUUAACACUGAGGCGUGACGACGAGGCACUACGGUGCUGAAGCAACAAAUGCCCUGCUUCCAGGAAAAGCCUCUAAGCAUCAGGUAACAUCAAAUCGUACCCCAAACCGACACAGGUGGUCAGGUAGAGAAUACCAAGGCGCUUGAGAGAACUCGGGUGAAGGAACUAGGCAAAAUGGUGCCGUAACUUCGGGAGAAGGCACGCUGACACGUAGGUGAAGUGAUUUACUCAUGGAGCUGAAGUCAGUCGAAGAUACCAGCUGGCUGCAACUGUUUAUUAAAAACACAGCACUGUGCAAACACGAAAGUGGACGUAUACGGUGUGACGCCUGCCCGGUGCCGGAAGGUUAAUUGAUGGGGUCAGCGCAAGCGAAGCUCCUGAUCGAAGCCCCGGUAAACGGCGGCCGUAACUAUAACGGUCCUAAGGUAGCGAAAUUCCUUGUCGGGUAAGUUCCGACCUGCACGAAUGGCGUAAUGAUGGCCAGGCUGUCUCCACCCGAGACUCAGUGAAAUUGAACUCGCUGUGAAGAUGCAGUGUACCCGCGGCAAGACGGAAAGACCCCGUGAACCUUUACUAUAGCUUGACACUGAACAUUGAGCCUUGAUGUGUAGGAUAGGUGGGAGGCUUUGAAGUGUGGACGCCAGUCUGCAUGGAGCCGACCUUGAAAUACCACCCUUUAAUGUUUGAUGUUCUAACGUGGACCCGUUACCCGGGUUGCGGACAGUGUCUGGUGGGUAGUUUGACUGGGGCGGUCUCCUCCUAAAGAGUAACGGAGGAGCACGAAGGUUGGCUAAUCCUGGUCGGACAUCAGGAGGUUAGUGCAAUGGCAUAAGCCAGCUUGACUGCGAGCGUGACGGCGCGAGCAGGUGCGAAAGCAGGUCAUAGUGAUCCGGUGGUUCUGAAUGGAAGGGCCAUCGCUCAACGGAUAAAAGGUACUCCGGGGAUAACAGGCUGAUACCGCCCAAGAGUUCAUAUCGACGGCGGUGUUUGGCACCUCGAUGUCGGCUCAUCACAUCCUGGGGCUGAAGUAGGUCCCAAGGGUAUGGCUGUUCGCCAUUUAAAGUGGUACGCGAGCUGGGUUUAGAACGUCGUGAGACAGUUCGGUCCCUAUCUGCCGUGGGCGCUGGAGAACUGAGGGGGGCUGCUCCUAGUACGAGAGGACCGGAGUGGACGCAUCACUGGUGUUCGGGUUGUCAUGCCAAUGGCACUGCCCGGUAGCUAAAUGCGGAAGAGAUAAGUGCUGAAAGCAUCUAAGCACGAAACUUGCCCCGAGAUGAGUUCU
rnacentral:rRNA from 2 species